rnacentral:lncRNA from 1 species
CAACAUGACAUCACCUCCGCAUCACAAAACAGGCAAAGUUAUAAUCCUCUUCACUAGGAUCCCUCUGUGACUCCUCUAAACAGAAACAAUAACAAAAAAGCAGAGGCAGAGAUUAAGCACACUUACAGAUUUCAGAGGGGAAAAAACUUAGAAAAGUAAAAAACGAAUGUGGACUGAUGCCAUGUCUUGCUACAUGGCCCAGGCUGAAGAGCAGGGGCAUGAUCUCGGCUCACUGCAACAUCUGCCUCCUGGGUUCAAGUAAUUCUCUUGCCUCAGCCUCCUGAGUAGCUGGGACUACAGACGUGUGCCACCAUGCCCAGUGCAGCACCUGUGACCUGCCUGGACUCCGUCAUCACAAUGUCAAAAUUCUGUCACAAUGUCAAAAUUCUGUCACAGUGCCAAAAUUCUGUCACAGUGUCAAAAUUCUGCUGAGUUUCACGCCAAGGGAGGGGAAGGAGAAUAUUCAUCCUCUUUUCCCAUUUGGUGUCACAUGCAAUUAUAUGGGGCCCAAAGCAGAUCAGCUUAUAUCCAGCACCUCUUAUAUGGAAGGCAUCAAUGAGAACCAAAAUAAAAACUACAAUCCCUCACUCAAGAAGUUUAAAAUGAAGUGAAUGGACAAUUGUGAGAAGAAAUGCUAUUGAUCUUCCAAAGUUGUAUAUUCGAUAGUGAAUAUUGUAUGUUUAAAGUAACCUUGCAAAAUGUGUCAUGUCAAAUGUAAUAAAUUGUAUGUUCUGACGAAGGAAUGGAAUGCCAGAUCUAAG